UAAUUGGAAGGAAAAAUGAAAAUGGCUGCCAUGGAAGAACCAAUUCUCUCCAGACUAAAUCGAUUGGAUAACAUUGUAAGUAAAUUUAUCGUCUUUUUCAUUUUUUUUGUAUUUAUUUAUUGGGCUAUAAAUUAAGAAGCCCUCUGAGUUAUGAUUUCUUGUUAAUUUGGGUGGAAUAGUAAAAAUAGAAAAAGAAAAUGAUAAAUUCUUCUUGAGUUUUGAUAACUAGGAUGUUACAUAGAGGUACAAUAGAUUCGAUAAUUUGGUAUUAAUUUGAGUAUUAGAUUUUUUGUGGGUUGGUAUUAGUUUUUAAGCUUCUUGUCAAGCUAAUUAAAAGUGCUGGUGUCUUGAUCAAAAUGUUGAAAAGAUAGAAUUCAUAAAAAAGAAUGUCACACUGUUUGAAGUAAUAGAAUAUGUAGGAAAUAAUAUGGACCUAUAAAGAAGAUUACUCGACUUGCUUUUUACACCC
rnacentral:lncRNA from 1 species